CUAAACCCAAAUUCUAAACCCUAAACCCAAACCGUAAACCCUUAACCCAAACCCUAAACCCAAAUUGUAAAACCAAACCAUCGCCCAUAACAGAGCUACCUAAACCCUAACCUUGAAGGUCUAAACCCUAAACCCAAACCGUAGACCCUAAACCCAAACCCUAAACACAAAACCCCCUAAACCCAAACUCCAAACUCUA
rnacentral:lncRNA from 1 species